GACGAACGCUGGCGGCGUGCUUAACACAUGCGAGUCGAACGGAAAGGGCCUGCUUUUGUGGGGAGCCCGAGGGGCGAAGGGGAGAGAAACACGGGAGUAACCUGCCCUGGACUUGGGGAUAACUGGAGGAAACUGGGGAUAAUACAGAAUAGGAGCUGCAGCAGGAGGGGGGGGGUUGGAAAGUAUCGGAGGUUGGGGAUGGACGCGCGGCUUAUCAGCUUGUGGGGGGGGGAGUGGCUUACCAACGGAUUGAGGGGUAGCCGGCCUGGGAGGGUGACCGGCCUCAUUGGUACUGCGAUACGGCCCAGACUCCUACGGUAGGCAGCAGUGGGGAAUAUUGCCCAAUGGGCGGAAGCCUGAUGCAGCAACGCCGCGUGCGUGAUGACGGCCUUCGUGUUGUAAACCGCUUUCGCCUGUUACGAAGCGUUAGUGACGUUACUGGGUAAAGAAGCACCGGCUAACUACGUG
rnacentral:rRNA from 1 species